UCUGUGACCCUCUCGCCGUUUUCGAGGGGGAUUAGGGUUAGCCGCCGGCGCUUUCGCUCUGUUUCCAAGUUUUUAGUUGAGAUCUGUCACCAUGGGUAAAGAGAAGGUUCACAUCAACAUUGUUGUCAUUGGUCAUGUUGACUCUGGGAAGUCAACCACCACUGGGCAUCUUAUUUACAAGCUUGGUGGUAUUGACAAGCGUGUGAUCGAGCGGUUUGAGAAGGAGGCUGCUGAGAUGAACAAAAGGUCAUUCAAGUAUGCGUGGGUGCUUGAUAAGCUGAAGGCCGAGCGCGAGCGUGGUAUAACCAUUGAUAUUGCUCUCUGGAAGUUUGAGACCACCAGAUACUACUGCACUGUCAUUGAUGCCCCUGGCCAUCGUGACUUCAUAAAAAACAUGAUUACUGGAACUUCUCAGGCCGAUUGUGCUGUCCUUAUUAUUGACUCUACCACUGGUGGUUUUGAGGCUGGUAUUUCCAAGGAUGGUCAGACUCGUGAGCAUGCCCUGCUUGCUUUCACUCUUGGUGUGAAGCAGAUGAUCUGUUGUUGCAACAAGAUGGAUGCCACAACCCCAAAGUACUCCAAGGCCCGGUACGAUGAAAUUAUCAAGGAGGUUUCUUCAUACCUCAAGAAGGUCGGUUACAACCCAGACAAAAUUCCCUUUGUUCCUAUCUCUGGGUUUGAGGGUGAUAACAUGAUUGAGAGGUCGAACAACCUCGACUGGUACAAGGGUCCCACCCUCCUUGAGGCCCUUGACUUAAUCAAUGAGCCAAAGAGGCCCACAGACAAGCCCCUCCGCCUUCCCCUUCAGGAUGUGUACAAGAUUGGAGGCAUUGGAACUGUGCCAGUCGGCCGUGUGGAGACUGGUAUUGUGAAGCCCGGUAUGGUAGUGACUUUUGGGCCAACUGGUCUGACCACUGAAGUU
rnacentral:misc_RNA from 1 species